UUUCGAUACUUUCCACAGCAAGUUUACAAAACGAAAUUUCUUGCUAGUCUUAUAUACAUUUGCAUGACCACUUUUGGAAUGAACAUUGUCUCGGGAUUGAUGAUCUGUCCUAAUAUUCAAAAUGAAAAAUCUUACGUUUUGCAAUUUCCUUCACCGGAUAGCUGCUCUGAUUUCUAUAGAUGUGAUAAUGGAAUGCUAAUCUUACAAUCAUGCCCUCGUGGACUUCACUAUAAUCCAAGAAACAAGGUAUGCGACAGAGUUAAGGCGGCUCGUUGUAACUUGGCAGCUUACCAAUAACGCUGAAUAAUUGAUUAAUUAAAUUUAGAAUGAAAUAUAUAAAAAUAAAUAAUAUCGCGCAGUUAAAAAAUUAUUUGUCUUCAUGGUGAGCAUUAAAGUUAAAAUUAAAACUGUACGAAUAAAUUGUUACGGUAUCGAAAACACUCUUAUAGCUGGUUUAUAUCCGUUUCCAGA